rfam:Schistosoma curassoni strain Dakar, Senegal genome assembly, scaffold: SCTD_scaffold0000229
AUCCAGCUGUCGAGUCCCGGGUAGGAUGAAAUGCGCGUCCUGGAU